rnacentral:rRNA from 1 species
UACGUAGGUGGCAAGCGUUGUCCGGAAUUAUUGGGCGUAAAGCGCGCGCAGGCGGUCCUUUAAGUCUGAUGUGAAAGCCCACGGCUCAACCGUGGAGGGUCAUUGGAAACUGGGGGACUUGAGUGCAGAAGAGGAGAGUGGAAUUCCACGUGUAGCGGUGAAAUGCGUAGAGAUGUGGAGGAACACCAGUGGCGAAGGCGACUCUCUGGUCUGUAACUGACGCUGAGGCGCGAAAGCGUGGGGAGCAAAAGGG